UACGUAGGGUGCGAGCGUUAAUCGGAAUUACUGGGCGUAAAGCGCGCGCAGGCGGUUUUGUAAGUCAGAUGUGAAAUCCCCGGGCUCAACCUGGGAACUGCGUUUGAAACUACAAGGCUAGAGUGUAGCAGAGGGGGGUGGAAUUCCACGUGUAGCAGUGAAAUGCGUAGAGAUGUGGAGGAACACCGAUGGCGAAGGCAGCCCCCUGGGUCAAGACUGACGCUCAUGCACGAAAGCGUGGGGAGCAAACAGG
rnacentral:rRNA from 1 species